rnacentral:tRNA from 1 species
GUGGGUAUAGUUUAGUGGUAGAGUGCUUGCCUAACAUGCACAGAGUCCUGGGUUUGAUACCUAGCACCCACU